UACGGAGGGGACUAGCGUUGUUCGGAAUUACUGGGCGUAAAGCGCACGUAGGCGGAUUUGUAAGUCAGGGGUGAAAUCCCGGGGCUCAACCUCGGAAUUGCCUUUGAUACUGUCUGUCUUGAGUUCGGGAGAGGUGAGUGGAACUGCGAGUGUAGAGGUGAAAUUCGUAGAUAUUCGCAAGAACACCAGUGGCGAAGGCGGCUCACUGGCCCGAUACUGACGCUGAGGCACGAAAGCGUGGGGAGCAAACAGG
rnacentral:rRNA from 1 species